rnacentral:rRNA from 1 species
AGCGAACGCUGGCGGCGUGCUUAACACAUGCAAGUCGAGCGAAGGUGUUUCAAGGGUAACCUUGAGAUACACUUAGCGGCGGACGGGUGAGUAAUACGUGGAUAACUUACCUCUAGGCCUGGGAUAACCCCGGGAAACUGGGGCUAAUACCUGAUAAGACCACAUUGUCUACGGACAAAGGGGUAAAAGGUGGCUGUGCAAACAGCUAUCGCCAAAAGAUAGGUUCACGUCCCAUCAGGCAGUGGUGAGGUAAUGGCUCACCAAACCAAAGACGGGUAGCCGGCCUUGGCGGGUGAACGGCCACACGGGGACUGAGACACGGCCCCGACUCCUACGGGAGGCAGCAGUGGGGAAUAUUGGGCAAUGGGCGCAAGCCUGACCCAGCGACGUCGCGUUUGGGGAAGAAGGCCUUCGGGUUGUAACCCACUGUCGGGAGGGAAAGAGUGGGUCGUGUUUGUC